rnacentral:rRNA from 1 species
AGCCGCGGUAAGACGUAGGGGGCUAGCGUUGUCCGGAAUCACUGGGCGUAAAGGGCGCGUAGGCGGACAGUUAAGUCAGAGGUGAAAGCCCAGGGCUCAACCUUGGAAUUGCCUUUGAAACUGGCUGUCUUGAGUUCGGGAGAGGUGAGUGGAAUGCCGAGUGUAGAGGUGAAAUUCGUAGAUAUUCGGCGGAACACCAGUGGCGAAGGCGACUCACUGGCCCGAUACUGACGCUGAGGCGCGAAAGCGUGGGGAGCAAACA